rnacentral:rRNA from 1 species
CCCUUAGAUGUUCUGGGCUGCACGCGCGCUACACUGAUGCGUUCAACGAGUUUAUGACCUUGCCCGAUAGGGUUGGGUAAUCUUUUUAAAUCGCAUCGUGAUGGGGAUAGAUUAUUGCAAUUAUUAAUCUUCAACGAGGAAUUCCUAGUAAGCGCGAGUCAUCAGCUCGUGCUGAUUACGUCCCUGCCCUUUGUACACACCGCCCGUCGCUCCUACCGAUUGAAUGGUCCGGUGAAAAUUUCGGAUGGUGGCGAUGCUGGCGGUUCGCCGCCGGCGCUGCCGCUAGAAGAUCUUUAAACCUUAUCAUUUAGAGGAAGGAGAAGUCGUAACA